rnacentral:rRNA from 1 species
AACUGUUGCCUCGGCGGGAUCUCUGCCCCGGGUGCGUCGCAGCCCCGGACCAAGGCGCCCGCCGGAGGACCAACCAAAACUCUUAUUGUAUACCCCCUCGCGGGUUUUUUUAUAAUCUGAGCCUUCUCGGCGCCUCUCGUAGGCGUUUCGAAAAUGAAUCAAAACUUUCAACAACGGAUCUCUUGGUUCUGGCAUCGAUGAAGAACGCAGCGAAAUGCGAUAAGUAAUGUGAAUUGCAGAAUUCAGUGAAUCAUCGAAUCUUUGAACGCACAUUGCGCCCGCCAGUAUUCUGGCGGGCAUGCCUGUCCGAGCGUCAUUUCAACCCUCGAACCCCUCCGGGGGGUCGGCGUUGGGGAUCGGCCCUGCCUCUUGGCGGUGGCCGUCUCCGAAAUACAGUGGCGGUCUCGCCGCAGCCUCUCCUGCGCAGUAGUUUGCACACUCGCAUCGGGAGCGCGGCGCGUCCACAGCCGUUAAACACCCAACUUCUGAAAUGUUGACCUCGGAUCAGGUAGGAAUACCCGCUGAACUUAAGCAUAUCAAUAA